AAAAGGAAACUGAAACCUAACCAGAACAGAAUCUCCGCCAAAGACGAAUCUCCGCCAAAAUUGAGCAAAAGAAAGUGCACAACAGUUCAAAAAAACCAUAAUCAAGUCCCAGAGUGGCAGCCGGUUUUUCACCUUUCUACUUUCUACCUGUUUGCCUUUCUGCUGCAUUUAUGAUGCAAUAAAUGGAUGAGGGGAAUCCA